rnacentral:rRNA from 1 species
GGGUCAGUAGGUUGGUCGUGCCACCGGUACGUACUGGUCUCACUGAUUCCUCCUUCCUGAAGAACCGUAAUGCCAUUAAUUCGGUGUUGCGGGGAAACAGGACUGUUACUUUGAAAAAAUUAGAGUGUUUAAAGCAAGCUAACGCUUGAAUACAUUAGCAUGGAAUAAUGAAAUAGGACGAUCGAUCCUAUUUUGUUGGUUUCUAGGAUUGACGUA